ACUCCUACGGGAGGCAGCAGUGGGGAAUAUUGCACAAUGGGGGAAACCCUGAUGCAGCAACGCCGCGUGGAGGAUGACACAUUUCGGUGCGUAAACUCCUUUUAUAUAGGAAGAUAAUGACGGUACUAUAUGAAUAAGCGCCGGCUAACUCCGUGCCAGCAGCCGCGGUAAUACGGAGGGCGCAAGCGUUACUCGGAAUCACUGGGCGUAAAGAGCGUGUAGGCGGAUCGAUAAGUCAGGAGUGAAAUCCUAUGGCUCAACCAUAGAACUGCUCUUGAAACUGUCAAUCUAGAGUAUGGGAGAGGUAGAUGGAAUUUCUGGUGUAGGGGUAAAAUCCGUAGAGAUCAGAAGGAAUACCGAUUGCGAAGGCGAUCUACUGGAACAUAACUGACGCUGAGACGCGAAAGCGUGGGAGCAAACAGGAUUAG
rnacentral:rRNA from 1 species